rnacentral:rRNA from 1 species
UAAAGCGUCCGUAGCCGGUUAAUAAGUCUCUGGUGGAAUCCUGUAGCUUAACUGUGGGAAGUUGCUGGAGAUACUAUUAGACUUGAGACCGGGAGGGGUUAGAGGUACUCCCAGGGUAGAGGUGAAAUUCUGUAAUCCUGGGAGGACCGCCUGUUGCGAAGGCGUCUAACUGGAACGGUUCUGACGGUGAGGGACGAAAGUUAGGGGCGCGAACCGGAUUAGAUACCCGGGUAGUCCUAACUGUAAACGAUGCGGACUUGGUGUUGGGGUGGCUUUGAGCUGCUUCAGUGCCGAAGGGAAGCUGUUAAGUCCGCCGCCUGGGAAGUACGGUCGCAAGACUGAAACUUAAAGGAAUUGGCGGGGGAGGCACCACAACGCGUGGAGCCUGCCGGUUUAAUUGGAUUCAACGCCGGACAUCUCACCAGAGGCGACAGCUGUAUGAUAGCCAGGUUGAUGACUUUGCUUGACUAGCUGAGAAGAGGUGCAUGG